rnacentral:misc_RNA from 1 species
UAUCGGGCGAACGAGAAUAGCGACGCACGUACUUGGUAAUUCGAGAGGAAGCGGGGUCGACAUCCUGUUUUAAUAUAUUUCCGGAAGGUUACUGCUAUCGAAUCGCACGAGUUUGUGGUUUCGACGCUUCGUUGCUUUUGCAUCCUUCACCACUGCCACCAUUGAUGUCAUCGUCGCCAUCCCCUUCCUUUGUUUUUCUCCAUUGCCUUGUUAGACUCAAAAAGUUCGUAAACAUCGAUCGGUCCAAUCGUUUAUAUUUAUACCCUUUGAUCCGAAUUACUUUCUUUCUACUCUUUCGUAUCGCUAAUACUUUUAUUACAAAAUCAACGCUACGUUAAAGAGCUAUUUUCGCUUUCCAAGAGACGCUUACAGAGCGAAUAAAACAAACGAAAGAAAAUUGGUCGACCAUCCAAGGACCCCUUACCAGGGAGAAAAUUAUUGUGUUUCGCGAGAAUAAAAGUUCAGCGGCUUGGCGUACGAAACAAUUUCCCGACGUAAAAAGUUCAAAUAUCUGCGUAUGACUGGAACGGCGCGACGCGUAACUCGU